AGAGUUUGAUCAUGGCUCAGAACGUACGCUGGCGGCACGCCUAACACAUGCAAGUCGAACGAAGUAGCAAUACUUAGUGGCAGACGGGUGAGUAACAUGUGGGUAUCUGCCCUUUGGCCUGGAAUAACACGAGGAAACUUGUGCUAAUACCGGAUAAGUCUUUACGGAGAAAGCUUUAUGCACCAUUGGAUGAGCCUGCACUUGAUUAGUUUGUUGGUGGGGUAAUGGCCUACCAAGACUGUGAUCAAUAGCUGAUUUGAGAGGAUGAUCAGCCACAUUGGGACUGAGACACGGCCCAAACUCCUACGGGAGGCAGCAGUGGGGAAUCUUGCACAAUGGAGGAAACUCUGAUGCAGCGAUGCCGCGUGAGUGAAGAAGGCCUUUGGGUUGUAAAGCUCUUUCGUCGGGGAAGAAAAUGACUGUACCCGAAUAAGAAGGUCCGGCUAACUUCGUGCCAGCAGCCGCGGUAAUACGAAGGGACCUAGCGUAGUUCGGAAUUACUGGGCUUAAAGAGUUCGUAGGUGGUUGAAAAAGUUAGUGGUGAAAUCCCAGAGCUUAACUCUGGAACUGCCAUUAAAACUUUUCAGCUAGAGUAUGAUAGAGGAAAGCAGAAUUUCUAGUGUAGAGGUGAAAUUCGUAGAUAUUAGAAAGAAUACCAAUUGCGAAGGCAGCUUUCUGGAUCAUUACUGACACUGAGGAACGAAAGCAUGGGUAGCGAAGAGGAUUAGAUACCCUCGUAGUCCAUGCCGUAAACGAUGUGUGUUAGACGUUGGAAAUUUAUUUUCAGUGUCGCAGGGAAACCGAUAAACACACCGCCUGGGGAGUACGACCGCAAGGUUAAAACUCAAAUGAAUUGACGGGGACCCGCACAAGUAGUGGAGCAUGUGGUUUAAUUCGAAGAUACGCGCAGAACCUUACCAACACUUGACAUGUUCGUCGCGACUCUAAGAGAUUAGAGUUUUCGGUUCGGCCGGACGAAACACAGGUGCUGCAUGGCUGUCGUCAGCUCGUGUCGUGAGAUGUUGGGUUAAGUCCCGCAACGAGCGCAACCCUCACUUUUAGUUGCCAUCAUUAAGUUGGGCACUCUGAAAGAACUGCCAGUGAUAAGCUGGAGGAAGGUGGGGAUGACGUCAAGUCCUCAUGGCCCUUACGUGUUGGGCUACACACGUGCUACAAUGGCAUCUACAACAGGAAGCAAAACGGCAACGUUAAGCAAAUCCCGAAAAGAUGCCUCAGUUCGGAUUGCACUCUGCAACUCGAGUGCAUGAAGCUGGAAUUACUAGUAAUCGUGGAUCAGCGUGCCACGGUGAAUGCGUUCCCGGGUCUUGUACACACCGCCCGUCACACCAUGGGAGUUGGUUCUACCUUAAGGCAAGGUUUCAAACCCUUGACCACGGUAUAGUCAGCGACUGGGGUGAAGUCGUAACAAGGUAGCCGUAGGGGAACCUGCGGCUG
rnacentral:rRNA from 1 species